AAAAAUUUCACCCAAAUUCUAAUUUCCCUCUCCUGAUUUGACCUAAAUUUCAUAAGCGGGAGAUUUAGAUGAGCAUUUGUGUCUCUCCCCCCUUCUUCUGCAUCUGUGUCUCUCCCCUCUUCUCUCCAGUGUUGAUUUGUUGAAUAACAUAGUCAUGUCUCGCUCCUUGGCUCUCCCUCUCUACCCCUCACCCCGUCUCUCUCCGUGUCUCGAUCUCAUUUUCUACAAGUCUUACUCAGAUCUGUUGUGCCGGCAGUGACCCCAAACGGUUCAAGUUUUUGAUGUCGGUGUUGACCUCUCUGCUUGAUUUAACAACAAUUUACCUUAUAAAGAGGUGCCAAGUUCAGAGCCAAGGGGUCUCAUCUUUCUCUGCCAUGGUUAUGAUAUGGAGUGUAGUAUCGUUGUGAAAGGGAUUUGGCUUGCGAAAGCAAGAUAUGCAGUUCAUGGUAUCCACUAUCAUGGUCAUGGGAAGCUACUGAUAAGUGUCUUGUCAUGUAUUUUGUUGCUGCAACUUGAAAAGAUGAAGAAUGAAUGGAGGCUUGUUAUGACAAAGCAUUCUUAUAUGCAUCUUGGAGUUCAAUUUGUUAAAUUUUUAUCCUCUUUGCACUUUAAUUCAACUAUAUAGAUUGGAACAUAGUAAGAUCUUAAGUUAUUGUUUGUGAUUAGUUGUAAUUAU